rnacentral:snRNA from 1 species
UUGACCAAAGACGAAGUU